rnacentral:rRNA from 1 species
AGUGAACGCUGGCGGUAGGCCUAACACAUGCAAGUCGAACGGCAGCACAGAGGAGCUUGCUCCUUGGGUGGCGAGUGGCGGAUGGGUGAGGAAUACAUCGGAAUCUACUCUGUCGUGGGGGAUAACGUCGGGAAACUUACGAUAAUACCGCAUACGACCUACGGGUGAAAGCAGGGGAUCUUCGGACCUUGCGCGAUUGAAUGAGCCGAUGUCGGAUUAGCGAGUUGGCGGGGUAAAGGCCCACCAAGGCGACGAUCCGUAGCUGGUCGGAGAGGAUGACCAGCCACACUGGAACUGAGACACGGUCCAGACUCCUACGGGAGGCAGCAGUGGGGAAUAUUGGACAAUGGGCGCAAGCCUGAUCCAGCCAUACCGCGUGGGUGAAGAAGGCCUUCGGGUUGUAAAGCCCUCUUGUUGGGAAAGAAAGCCACCUGGUUAAUACCCGGGUGGGAUGACGGUACCCGAAGAAUAAGCACCGGCUAACUUCGUGCCAGCCGCCGCAGUAA